rnacentral:rRNA from 2 species
GUCUACGGCCAUACCAUCGAGAAAACACCGGUUCUCGUCCGAUCACCGAAGUUAAGCUCGAUUGGGCAAUCUGGAAGAAGAUUAUUUCCGGCCUCGUGUGAUAUCUUUGACGAAUGUACUUGUUGUCA